rnacentral:rRNA from 1 species
UGGAGGCAGCAGUGAGGAAUUGUUCGCAAUGGGCGCAAGCCUGACGACGCAACGCCGCGUGGGGGAUGAAGGUCUUCGGAUUGUAAACCCCUGUCGAGCGGGACGAAUGGCCCGCGACCUAACACGUCGUGGGAGUGACGGUACCGCUAAAGGAAGCCACGGCUAACUCUGUGCCAGCAGCCGCGGUAAUACAGAGGUGGCAAGCGUUGUUCGGAAUUACUGGGCGUAAAGGGCGCGUAGGCGGCCCUCUAAGUCAGACGUGAAAUCCCCCGGCUUAACCUGGGAACUGCGUCUGAUACUGGAGGGCUUGAAUGCGGGAGAGGGAUGUAGAAUUCCAGGUGUAGCGGUGAAAUGCGUAGAUAUCUGGAGGAAUACCGGUGGCGAAGGCGGCAUCCUGGACCGACAUUGACGCUGAGGCGCGAAAGCUAGGGUAGCAAACGGGAUUAGAUACCCCGGUAGC